rnacentral:rRNA from 1 species
GAUGAACGCUGGCGGCGUGCCUAAUACAUGCAAGUCGAGCGAACAGACGAGGAGCUUGCUCCUCUGACGUUAGCGGCGGACGGGUGAGUAACACGUGGAUACCCUACCUAUAAGACUGGGAUAACUUCGGGAAACCGGAGCUAAUACCGGAUAAUAUAUUGAACCGCAUGGUUGAAUAGUGAAAGACGGUUUUGCUGUCACUUAUAGAUGGAUCUGCGCCGCAUUAGCUAGUUGGUAAGGUAACGGCUUACCAAGGGAACGAUGCGUAGCCGACCUGAGAGGGUGAUCGGCCACACUGGAACUGAGACACGGUCCAGGCGCCUACGGGAGGCAGCAGUAGGGAAGCUUCCGCAAUGGGCGAAAGCCUGACGGAGCAGCGCGGCGUGUGUGAUGAAGGUCUUCGGAUCGUAAAACUCUGUUAUUAGGGAAGAACAAAUGUGUAAGUAACUAUGCACGUCUUGACGGUACCUAAUCAGAAAGCCACGGCUAACUACGUG